UACGUAGGGUGCGAGCGUUAAUCGGAAUUACUGGGCGUAAAGCGUGCGCAGGCGGUGAUGUAAGACAGAUGUGAAAUCCCCGGGCUCAACCUGGGAACUGCAUCUGUGACUGUAUAGCUAGAGUACGGUAGAGGGGGAUGGAAUUCCGCGGUGUAGCAGUGAAAUGCGUAGAUAUGCGGAGGAACACCGAUGGCGAAGGCAAUCCCCUGGACCUGUACUGACGCUCAUGCACGAAAGCGUGGGGAGCAAACGAGG
rnacentral:rRNA from 1 species